GAUGAAGAACGUAGCGAAAUGCGAUAAGUAAUGUGAAUUGCAGAAUUCAGUGAAUCAUCGAAUCUUUGAACGCACCUUGCGCCCCUUGGUUAUUCCAAAGGGCAUGCCUGUUUGAGUAUCAUGAACACCUCAACUCUUGUGGUUUCCCACAAUGAGCUUGGACUGUGGAGGUUUUGUUGGCCCUGUGGUCAGCUCCUCUCAAAUGGAUCAGCUUACCGGUGUUUGGUGGCAUUACGGGUGUGAUAACUAUCUGCGCUCGUGGUCGUCUCCAAAUAACCUCCAGUGAUGGAGGUUCGCUGGAGCUUAUAAAUGUCUCUCCCCAGUGAAGACAGCCUUUGAACGUUCGAUCUCAAAUCAGGUAGGACUACCCGCUGAACUUAAGCAUAUCAAUAAGCGGAGGA
rnacentral:misc_RNA from 1 species